AUGUCCGGAUCCGCAUCAGGAGAAGGAAAUCACGACGGCGGCCAACUCUACGGCGAGGACGACACCGUCUUCUUCCAGAGUCCGGCGUGCGGCGGUGGGGACGAUGUUGGUGCAACCCCGUCGGCCUACUCCACCAUCACCGACUACCUGCACGGGCUCCUCGACCCAGCAGAGCUCGCGAGGCACCUGGACGCGCCCCCGUGCUUCCCAACGGCGAGCGAAGUGAUCGGCGCCGAAGCGGCCCCUUUCACGUCCAACUCGUCGACGUCGGGCGAGGCAGCGGACGAGCCCCGCGGGUGCAAGAGAGGCACGCCGGCGCCGGAGGAGGACGAGGACGGAUCGGCCGAUCAUGGCAGCUGCAGGAGCAACGAGAAGGAGAAAAAGAAGAAGGGGAAGGGGGAGAAGAAGGCGCACGGCUCCCGUGUGGCCUUUGCAACCAAGAGCGAGGUUGACCACCUCGACGAUGGCUACCGCUGGCGCAAGUACGGCCAGAAGGCCGUCAAGAACAGUUCCUUCCCAAGCGUGUGCAGGAGCUACUACCGGUGCACGGCCACACGGUGUGGGGUGAAGAAGCUGGUGGAGCGGUCGCAGCAAGACCCUUCCACGGUCGUCACCACCUACGAGGGCCGCCACGGGCACCCAAGCCCCGUCGCCACCCACCGUGGCCCACGGAUGCUAAUGGCCACCGGUGCCAACACUGCCUACGCGCUUGCCGCGCUUCAACAUCAGCAACAUUGCUUUUUUUCAGCUGGUGCUGACGUCUACGCUCCGUUGGUGGCACACCGAUUGUCGGAGCACGGUGGCAUGCAGUUCCAUGCCGAUCUUCUUCCCGAUGCCGUGAUGGGCUACCAGCAAGGGUAUCGUUAA
rnacentral:rRNA from 1 species